ensembl:snRNA U4 U4 spliceosomal RNA
AGCUUUGCACAGUGGCAGUAUCAUAGCUAGUGAGUUUCAUCCGAGGCACGAUUAUUGCUAAUAGAAAACUUUUCCCAAUACCCCGCCAUGAUGACUUGGAUUAUAGUCGGAAUUGGCAAUUUUUGAUAAUCUCCACGGAGA